rnacentral:lncRNA from 1 species
UUCCAAUUAAUAUAAGAAAUAAGACAAUGCUGUCCACCAUUACAUGCAUUAUUUAAUGAGAAUUUAAAAAAAGGUAAUAAGAUAAAACAUUUAAAAGGAGGGGUCACUCACGUUGUAGUUGACGUAAUUUUACCUGAAAAAACGCAAGAAAUUUAACUUAAGUGCCAUUGCAAAAAUAGAGUUAUACAGUGGUUGGGUACAAAUGUAUUUUUAAAACUUUAUUCACUCAUUUGUACAGUUGACUCACAAUGUGUUAAUUUCUUUCUUGCUUUCUUUCUUUCUUUCUUUUUUCAUUCUUUCUUUUCUUUUGCCUUUUGUCUUUUUAGGGCCAUUCCCGAGGCAUAUGGAUGUUCCCAGGCCAGGGGUCCAGUCAGAGCUGUAGCUGCUGGCCUGUCACAGCCACAGCAGCACAGGAUCCGAGCCAUGUCUGUGACCUACACCACAGCUCACGGCAAUGCUGGAUCCUUAACCCACUGAGCAAGGCCAGGGAUUGAACCUGCAUCCUCAUGGGUACUAGUGGGGUUCGUUAACCACUGAGCCACGAUGGGAACUCCACAAUAUGUUAAUUUCUGUUAUACAGCAAGUGACUCAGUUACACACACACACACACACACACACACACACAAAUAUAUUGAAAAUGAAAUUUAUGGAGUAACAUGUUUUACUUAUAUGUUGGCAAGAUAUAAAAAAAAAAAAGCAUAUGUUUUUGCUAGUAGUAAAACUGGUGUAAGUUCCAUGAAAGACAUUGUUGCAAUUUCUGUGAAAAUUCAAAACAUGCAUAACAAUUUGAAAAGCAGUUUCACUACUAGGAAUUUAUCCUUUGUGUAUAUUUUCCCCAACAUAAUAUUCAUUGCAGCAAUAUUUGUGCUGAAUAUCCAUCUUGAAAGGAUUUAAAAAUUCCUUUAUUUAAAAAGUGGAACACUGGAGUUCCUGUCGUGGCGCAGUGGUUACGUAUCUGACUAGGAACCAUGAGGCUGCAGGUUCGAUCCCUGCCCUUGCUCAGUGGGUUAAGGAUCCGGCGUUGCCGUGAGCUGUGGUGUAGGUCGCAGACGCGGCUCGGAUCCCGAGUUGCUGUGGCUGUGGCGUAGGCUGGUGGCUACAGCUCCGAUUGGACCCCUAGCCUGGGAAUCUCCACAUGCCACGGGAGCGGCUCAAGAAAAGGCAAAAAGACAAAAAAA